rnacentral:lncRNA from 10 species
UGAGCUCCCAGUGACUACCCCAAGGUCAAUUGGCGUUCAGUGUGGGCAGGGCAACCAUGCUGGUACAGGGUGCUGGGUGCAGGGGAGGUAGAGGGGAGACGGAGAAUGAGUGUUGGGGACAGGAUUCCUGUUCUCAGAGGUAAGGCCAAAGGGGCUGAUCAGACAAGUGCACAAGUAGCUAUGAGACACCCUAGGGAGUAAGUGCCACUCAAAGAAGGGGGACACAUUGCUUCUAACUGCAGAAGUCUCAGAAGGUCGUGUAGAGGAGGUGAAAGGAAUGUGGGCUGGGCAGAGCUGGAAUCUGCUGGGAUGGAGUAGAAAGACUCCAGGUGGCAUGAGCAAUGUGGCAGGAACAUGCUGGGUAGGAACACACGGUCCAGCAGGGCUGGAGUGAAGGAGCCUGAAGGGGGUUUGUGUGCAAUGGUGCUCAACUCCUAAAAUGCCAAGCUAACCACGGGCUUCUCUAGGAGGGAAUAGGGAAUAGGGAGACGCUGGAAGGCUUGGGGUGGCCCUGGAUUGGGGAGCGCAGGCCAUCCGUUGCAUCCUGAUGAGUUCAAGUAUGUGCCCCUUUGUCUCCAUGACAGGCCUGGGUUGCUGGGUGCUGGGACAUCAGGCCUGCAGGACCCCGCAGGGUACGUACCCCCUCCACGACCCUCCAAUGUCCUCGAGGAGCCCUGCCCACCCCCGACCUGAACCAGGCACCACAGGCGUUAGGGACAGUUGUGCCGGUUGGCUCCCCAGAGGGCCGGAACAGGAAGACCCAGCCCCAACUUUCCCCUUUCUCCCACAUGCAAGGGAGUUGCAAGAAGCAGUUGUACAUGAGGCCCCACUUGACAGAAUGGCCUACGCAGGCCUCUUUAGCAGAGAGUGGCCUUGUCAGCUCCCAGGUCCAAAUGACUGUUAGCAUGCUGGCUCUGAUCUGCAGCAGUGCCGGGCCCUCUCAAGCGCCUCCCUGGCGUCUCUGGGACUCUGGCGCUCUGUAUCUGGCCCCAGGGUCUGGGGUGAGGCACUUGCCCGUCAGGGGUCAGAGGAUCUGCUCAAAGCAGAAGCUGCUCUGAUGCUGGGUCAGCAGUUUUCCCUCCACAUGGCAUGCUCCAGUCACUGUUUGCAAGGGCAGCAUCUAGAUAGUGCUGGUCACUCUGGUCACUGCUCCUGGCCUCACCUGUAGCCCCCAUGGCCAAUAUUGCUGGCAGCCCACACACAAUCCCCACUGCUGGCUCAGAGGGGCUCAGGCUGCUGGCACCACUUGAAAGCUGAAUGUGGCUCAGACAGCAGCAGUCACUGAAACUGCCCCGGGCCCUGGGCUCAAACUCGGGGGGUAGGGGAGGGUGUUCUGGGGUCUGCAGCAGCCUGCUUGGGAGUGGGAAUUCAGUUCGAUCCAUUUAAUUCAACUUAAAGAUUUGUUGAGUGCCUGUAAGAACCAGGCCCUGGGCUGAGAUUAGACAUAUCCACAAGCAGAUGUGGCCACAAAAAGGCCACCGUUUAUAGUUCAGGGGGAAGACAGGAGCAUAGCAGAUACAACACAAGGCUUCUGCACACACCGUCUCUUCUGUCUGGAUUAACCCGCCCUCAUCUUUUCACCUAAUUAACUUUCCCUACUCUUCCCCCAGCUUUCAGCUCAGUGUGAUUUCCUUGGAAAAGUUUUCCCAGCCUUCCGCGACUCAAGCAAAUCCCCAGUUCAGUCCUCAGUUGGCCGCACAUCCCACUCCUCGGCAGCAUCGUCCCUCUUGCAUUUGACAGUUGCCUGUAUGAUUCUUUCAUUAAUGUGUGUCUCCCCAGCUAGGCUGAUGCAAGCUCCAUGAGGACAGGACAAGGGUCCACUUCCCUCGCCACUCUCUGUUGAGUGCCUGGCACAGCGCCUGGCAUAGGAAGAACCCCAUCAGUACGUGUUGGGAAAACACACGAGAAAAAGCGUAUAGGACAAGGUCACUGCUAGAGUUACGCAGAUGGAAACUUGAGAGCAUUCAAAGAGCUGAGAUUGAGGGUGUAGAAAGCUGUCCUGGAGGAGCUGGCAGAUGAGGAGAAGCUUGCCUCUGGCAGGUAGAGAUGGGAUAAGGCAGGAAGAGCAGACCACGGGAACUUGGAGGCCAGGAAGCACAGGCUGCACCUGGUGACUGGCAGGAGUUUGGUAUGUCCGGAGCUUAGGGAAAUGAAUACACUGAGAAAUGAGGUGACAUGGGGUGACAAGCCUUGGAUGGCAGGCUAGGAGCUGUGUUGUUAGGGGGCUGUGCAGGGCCAUUGCUGGCUGGAGAGAAGCUGGACCCAGGAGGACCAGUUAGGAAGCCAUGGCAGUUGGCCAGGCAGAAGCCAGACGCGAGGGCAGCAGGGCUGAUGCUGAGAAGCAGUGGAGAAAGAGGCCAUGGGCAUUUGGCUAAGGAAACAGCUCUGGCUCAUCAUUCAUCCCUCAGGCAGAAAAGGAUGGGAAGCAGGGGGCAAGAGUCUACCCCCAGCUAGCUGUGUCCCUGGUGGAGCCUGAGUGGGGCCAGGGCGCCGCUGCCUUCUGAAUUCUUGCCCGGCUGGGCUGCAGUGAAUGUCCUGCUCCCUCCCUGGCCUGUGGGAAGAUGUGGUGCUGGGAACCCCUGGACAGCAGAUGCGUGUGGCCAGGGUGUGCGGGGUGUCCUCCACUCCCCUCCAGGCCUCCUCUCCACCCUUCUCCACCCGCCCCUGGGCUUUGGAAGGCCAUUCCUUGGACUGUGUAAGCCUGGUUGACUUGCCUUCGAGUGCCAUUGGGUUGAGCCACGUGGUAUAAUUAAAAACUAUAUCAGGUCUCUGUCCUCAGUUCCUGGCACAGAGCUCCUAAAACCCUCGGCAUUUCCUGCAUGACAGGAGUGUCUUCUGUUACCCAACACAGCCCCUUGCCACCAUUCCUGAGUUCAUGCUAAUGAGAUGAUUCAGGGUGGAGCUCCGAGAUGGCUUUAGGAUGGGGACUAGUCACCCCAUGUAAUUAAAUCAAACAUGUAAUUAGAGGGCGGCACCUUCAGCCCCAUCCCCUGACCUUUGGGGAGGGGAGAAGGGUUAGAGAUUAACAGCAACGUGGGGAGCUUCCGGGUUGGUGAACACACUGAUGGGAAGGUGAUGUACCCAGCCAGGGCCUGGGAGCUCUGGGUCACACCCCUCCCUCCACCAGCUCACUGCCCAGGGCAUCUCUCCCAUUCGCCUGUCCCUGUCUUCUCUCCUUCCUGAGGAGCUGGUAAACGUAAGCGAAGUAUCUUCCUGAGUUCUGUCAGUCAUUCUAGCAAAUGAUUAAACCUAAGCGGGAAACCCCUGAAUUUGUAGCCAAGGGGGACAGAAGUGUGGGUAGCCUGGGAACCUGGAACACAUCUCAAGUGGGGACCCUCUUAUGAGACUGACCCCUUCACCCAUGGGGUCUGGGAAUUACUGUCAGAAUUGAAUUGAACUAUGGCCGGGCGCAGUGGCUCACGCCUGUAAUCCCAGCACUUUGGGAGGCUGAGGCGGGCAGACCAACUGAGGUCAAGAGUUUAAGACCAGCCUGGCCAACAUGGUGAAAUCCCGUCUCUACUAAAAAUAUAAAAAUUAGCUGGGUGUGGUGGCACACAUCGUAGUCCCAGCUACUGAGGAAGCUGAGGCAGGAGAAUUGCUUGAACCUGGGAGGUGGAGGUUGCAGUGAGCCGAGAUCACACCACUGCACUCCAGCCUGGGUGACAAAGGAGGCUCCAUUUAAAAAAAAAAAAUUGAACUAUUAUACACCCAGUUGGUGUCAGAGAAUUGGAGAAUUACAGAACUGGUGCAGAAAAAAACCACACAAGCCAUUGGGUAGGAACAGCAGGAGGUCAGUGGCAGGAGGAAAGUAGGGAAGUAAUUCUCUCAGCUUCCUCUUUCGGGUUACUGAAGAUUAACUGCAUCCCCUACCAAAGACAGGACUUCUACCCAGUGGCUCUCCCACAGCUAUAGCCCUAUCAGAAUUCCCAGACCACGCCUCCCACACUCUCCCACUCUCUCCCACACUCCCACACUCUCCUACUCUCUCCCACACUCCCACACUCUCCCAAGCUCUCCCACUCUCUCCCACUCUCUCCCACAGUCCCACACUCUCCCACAAUCCCACACUCUCCCACACUCUCCCACUCUCUCCCACACUCUCCCACAUUCUCCCACACUCUCAAUCUCUCCCACACUCUCCCACACUCCCACACUCUCCCACUCUCUCCCACACUCUCUCCCACUCUCUCCCACACUCUCCCACUCUCUCCUACACUCUGCCACACUCCCACACUCUCCCACAUUCUCCCACACUCUCAAUCUCUCCCACACCCUCCCACAGUCUCCCACACUGCCACAGCUACAGCCCUAUCAGAAUUCCCAGACCACCCCUCCCACACUUUGCCCCUCCUAACCCUGAGGAGCUUCACCAUCCCAUGAUGAUUUUUUUUCUUUUUUCUUUUUUUUUUUUGAGAGGGAGUCUUGCUCUGUCAUCAGGCUGGAGUGGAGUACAGUGGUGCCAUCUCAGCUCACUGCAACUUCCACCCCCCAGGUUCAAGUGAUUUCUCCUGCCUCAGCCUCCCGAGUAGCUCGGAUUACAGGCACGCGCCACCAGGCCCGGCUAAUUUUUGUAUUUUUAGUAGAGACGUGGGUUCACCAUGUUGGCCAGGCUGGUCUCGAACUCCUGACCUCAGGUAGUCCGCCUGCCUCAGCCUCCCAAAGUGAUGGGAUUACAAGCAUGAGCCACCGUGCCCGGCCCUGAAUAAAUAUUUCUUAGCUACACAUACAUUACUAUUUUUCAGAUUAAUCUAAAUGCUGUUGUAAUACAAAUUUAUUUGAGUGUUAGAGCUUCAUGUAGUUUUUUGUAAGUAUGUAUGUUCUUUAUAAAUUGAUGCUGAAAAUAGAACUAUACUCACAAGGGAGAGGUCCUGAAACUGGAAAUCAUGGGAACCCUAGCACUGGGGGCCUAAUUCCUGCUUCUUGUCCAGAGGAGAGAUUUUAGUGGGAAACUGUGAGUUCUCUGCCUGAGCAGACUCCUCCUCUAGUCUAGGCAUAUUUCUUUUUUUCUUUUUUGGGGGACAGAGUCUCGCUCUGUCACCCAGGCUGGAGUGCAGUGGCGCGAUCUUGGCUCACUGCAGCCUCUGCCUCCCAGGCUCAAGCUAUUCUCAUGCCUCAGCCUUCCCAGCAGCUGGGGCUACAGGUACACACCACCAUGCCAAUUAACUGAAGACUAACUUCAUCCCCCUAUCCCCUACAAGUUAAUCAUCAGUUAAUUGUUGUAUUUUUUUGUAGAGUUGUAGAGAUGGGAUUUCACCAUUUUGUAGAGACGGGGUUUCGUUGGCCACGCUGGUCUCAAACUCCUGGACUGAAGUGAUCCGCCCGCCUCGGCCUCCCCAGGCGUUGGGAUUACAGGUGUGAGCCACCGCGCCCAGCCCUUUACGCGUGUUUCUAUCUCUACACCUCCCUUUGGUUCAUCCAGCUCUGUGUGUCCACACUCCUGGCUUGGGUGCAGCCCUUGUGCUGAUGGAUUGGCAACCUUGGCACAAGGAUACCCAUGCUGAUUCCCACUGGGGGAUGGAAUCAUUUUUUCAUCCCCUUUCUUCAUUCUGGGCUAGAACAGCAAGACUGGAAGAACUCUAGAAAUUAGUUGUUAACCAAUCCUUUCUUUCGGAAGGCUGAGAAAUUGUAGCUGGGGAGGGGAAUGGGCUGUUCAAGGUGACCCUCCCUCGGUGGAAUGGGGUCUCCUGACCUAACUUCAGUCCUCUUUCCAUUCCACCAGAAAAGACACUUACCAAGCUCUCAUUAAAUUAAGUUUUAACAUGACUCAGGGUCUCUGGUCAAUUUAUUUUAGGCGUUUGUGCUCAUUUCUAUCUGAAGAAAUAAAUACAUACCUAUUUAAUUUUACUUUUCUCAUUUAAGUGUGCCACUAUUUUGAGAGCAACCAGGGAACAAAAUUCUGACCCCAUUAAUGGGUCUCAUUUUGUUGGUCUUUAUCUUUAUAGAGCUUCCUUUUUUUUUCUAACUUCCUUAUACACUUUGCCUUAUAAUUCCACCAUUUAAUUUUUACCUCUGGGGGAGGGCCAGGGCCUGGAAGAUCUGUUUCCAAUCAUUACAAUUAUUAAGAUGAUGAACAGUAGCCCCUUGAUUCCCCAGUGGGCACAUCAGGGCUUCAAGGUGGGGUGAGGUAGGCAGGAAGAGUGGAGGAAGGAAGCAGAAGCGAAGAACCAAGGAGAAGAGAGGGGGGAAGGCAUCUCUGAGCAGCCCCAGCACUCCCUGCAGCCCCUUUCAAAGCAGACAGCAGGUGCUGAAGGGCUGUGCAGGGCCUCGUCUCCUGCCCCGAGGGAGCCUGAGGCUGUUGGGAGGGGCAGGAGGGCUCCUGGAGCUAGGGGAGCCGCACCAGACCAUACGUUCACCUUCUGGAACCCCGAACACCGCUGGGGAACGCGUGCGAGCACCCCAGGGCUGGUUUGAGAGGAUGGCGAGGACCCAACUUGGAGGCCGGCUGAAAAGCAUCUCCUUCACUUCCUCCCUCCCUCUCCCACUUUCUAGAAUUUCUCAUUCGUCCACUUUUUCAUACGUCGAUUUCCCAGUCCUCCUCUCAUCAAUCACUUCUUCCAUUUAUUUUAACUCCAUCUAAAGCCUUUAUUUAUCCCCCUUUUUCUCUCGACACUCAUCUCUAUUUGUGUGUUCAUGGUGCUGAAAACCGAACGGAUAACAAAUUGCUUCGAUUCGGACCAGAUCCUUCUGCUGAGCUCCUUGGCCUCUGAGGCCGCCUAUAACAGCGCCUGCAUCGACUCUAUUUGUUUUCUCUCACUUACGGUCCCAGUGGCGCUUAAUUUUUCAUCAUGCAUUUCUGUCGUCUCCUCAGUUUCCCUGUAAGCAUCUUCAGGAACAAGCCCAUGGCCCCCAGAGCCCCUUCUCCUCACCGAGUCCUAUCCUCAGGCCUCCCGCCAGGCCCUGCAGCUGCUCAGGAAAUGGGUGUGGGGAGAUUAAUGCCUCCUCACACCCCAUGAAGGCUUCUGACCUUCACUGCACAGUGGAAUGCUUUCAGCUGGGGUGGUGGCGCAGCCAGGGGUGGCUUGAGUUGGCCUUACACCCAAUCACUUCCAUCAUCCAUCCCAAAUAAAAAUACACUAAGAAAAAAGAACACUCACUAGCAAACAUCAGCUCAAGACAAUCACCAGACUCUUACACCCCCCACCGCCAGCUUUCUACCUGAGUCUUUCUUUCCUCUGUAGAAACUGGCCCCUGGUCUAGGAAGAUCUUUCCCUCCAUUCUCUGACUAUUUACACUAUUUAUGUAUUUGCCUCUGCUGAAAAAAAAAAUCAUCUUUCUUUUCUAAGUAAUGAUUGCCAGCGCUAAGCUGGG